rnacentral:rRNA from 1 species
UGAACGCUGGCGGCAGGCCUACCACAUGCACGUCGAACGGUAACAGGAAGCAGCUUGCUGCUUUGCUGACGAGUGGCGGACGGGUGAGUAAUGUCUGGGAAACUGCCUGAUGGAGGGGGAUAACUACUGGAAACGGUAGCUAAUACCGCAUAAUGUCGCAAGACCAAAGAGGGGGACCUUCGGGCCUCUUGCCAUCGGAUGUGCCCAGAUGGGAUUAGCUAGUAGGUGGGGUAAAGGCUCACCUAGGCGACGAUCCCUAGCUGGUCUGAGAGGAUGACCAGCCACACUGGAACUGAGACACGGUCCAGACUCCUACGGGAGGCAGCAGUGGGGAAUAUUGCUCAAUGGGCGCAAGCCUGAUGCAGCCAUGCCGCGUGUAUGAAGAAGGCCUUCGGGUUGUAAAGUACUUUCAGCGGGGAGGAAGGGAGUAAAGUUAAUACCUUUGCUCAUUGACGUUACCCGCAGAAGAAGCACCGGCUAACUCCGUG